rnacentral:lncRNA from 1 species
UAGUUGCUUGAAUAAGAACUGUCAGCCUGGAAGAAGGGGCAGCUUAAUGGAAGUCAGCAACUGGCUUCUUCCACUUCUCCUGUUUAGUGUUGUGGAAGCAUUAGGAGCAGACUGAAGGCUCUGAGCUAUUCUGAGCUCAGAAAUUAGUUUCGUACUACAAGAGAAAUUUGGCAGAGAAGUCUGCAUCACCAUAGUGAUAGCACCAGUUAAACUUGUGUGUGUUUCAGAUGCAAAUCCUAGUGAGAUGGGAGUACCUUAUGUUUGCAAGUUUUCAAACUUAACAUUAAGAGUUAAUGUUGAGAAGCUAACAAGUUGUUAUGAGUGCUGUUGAGAGUGAAGACAUUACACAAGUAUAGGAGAGUAUCAAUUGAGGGAUCUGAGCAUCUUUAUUCAUAAUAGCCAGAAACUGGAAACAACAUUGCUUGAAUAAAGAUUGGAUAAAGAAAAUAUGGUACAUUUACACAAU